rnacentral:rRNA from 1 species
AGAGUUUGAUCAUGGCUCAGGAUGAACGCUGGCGGCGUGCCUAAUACAUGCAAGUCGAACGCUUUGUGGUUCAACUGAUUUGAAGAGCUUGCUCAGAUAUGACGAUGGACAUUGCAAAGAGUGGCGAACGGGUGAGUAACACGUGGGAAACCUACCUCUUAGCAGGGGAUAACAUUUGGAAACAGAUGCUAAUACCGUAUAACAAUAGCAACCGCAUGGUUGCUACUUAAAAGAUGGUUCUGCUAUCACUAAGAGAUGGUCCCGCGGUGCAUUAGUUAGUUGGUGAGGUAAUGGCUCACCAAGACGAUGAUGCAUAGCCGAGUUGAGAGACUGAUCGGCCACAAUGGGACUGAGACACGGCCCAUACUCCUACGGGAGGCAGCAGUAGGGAAUCUUCCACAAUGGGCGAAAGCCUGAUGGAGCAACGCCGCGUGUGUGAUGAAGGGUUUCGGCUCGUAAAACACUGUUGUAAGAGAAGAAUGACAUUGAGAGUAACUGUUCAAUGUGUGACGGUAUCUUACCAGAAAGGAACGGCUAAAUACGUGCCAGCAGCCGCGGUAAUACGUAUGUUCCAAGCGUUAUCCGGAUUUAUUGGGCGUAAAGCGAGCGCAGACGGUUAUUUAAGUCUGAAGUGAAAGCCCUCAGCUCAACUGAGGAAUUGCUUUGGAAACUGGAUGAUUUGAGUGCAGUAGAGGAAAGUGGAACUCCAUGUGUAGCGGUGAAAUGCGUAGAUAUAUGGAAGAACACCAGUGGCGAAGGCGGCUUUCUGGACUGUAACUGACGUUGAGGCUCGAAAGUGUGGGUAGCAAACAGGAUUAGAUACCCUGGUAGUCCACACCGUAAACGAUGAGUGCUAGGUGUUUGAGGGUUUCCGCCCUUAAGUGCCGCAGCU